UCUUGUAUAACAGCACGAAUGAUAAUAAAGCUAUUUUGUUUGUUCCUAUUUGUCCCUAUUUCCCCAACUCCCUCCACUGGGAUUCCAGUGUUUGCCACAUACCCACAUAUGGCCUAAAUUAUUAUUUACCUAAUAUUUUCUUCCAAAUCACCUCAUUUUUUAAAAUACAAUUUUUCUCAAAGAAAAAGUAAAUUUUUCUCAAAGAAAA